rnacentral:rRNA from 1 species
AUUGAACGCUGGCGGCAUGCUUUACACAUGCAAGUCGAACGGUAACAGGGAGCUUGCUCCGCUGACGAGUGGCGAACGGGUGAGUAAUGCGUCGGAACGUGCCGAGUAGUGGGGGAUAACGCAUCGAAAGGUGUGCUAAUACCGCAUACGUACUGAGGUAGAAAGUGGGGGACCUUCGGGCCUCACGCUAUUCGAGCGGCCGACGUCUGAUUAGCUAGUUGGUGAGGUAAAGGCUUACCAAGGCGACGAUCAGUAGCGGGUCUGAGAGGAUGGUCCGCCACACUGGGACUGAGACACGGCCCAGACUCCUACGGGAGGCAGCAGUGGGGAAUUUUGGACAAUGGGCGCAAGCCUGAUCCAGCCAUGCCGCGUGUCUGAAGAAGGCCUUCGGGUUGUAAAGGACUUUUGUCCGGGAGCAAAUGCCUGGUGUUAAUAGCAUCGGGAGCUGAGAGUACCGGAAGAAUAAGCACCGGCUAACUACGUGCCAGCCGCCGCAGUAACAC